CAGAGUUCAUGCCCUUACGGGUAGAUCUCCCACCCUUGAAUAACAUACAUUGUUGCUUUGGCGGACGCUUCGGCAGCCGCCAGAGGACCCUAAACUCUUGUUUACAGUGUCGUCUGAGUACUAUAUAAUAGUUAAAACUUUCAACAACGGAUCUCUUGGUUCUGGCAUCGAUGAAGAACGCAGCGAAAUGCGAUAAGUAAUGUGAAUUGCAGAAUUCAGUGAAUCAUCGAAUCUUUGAACGCACAUUGCGCCCCUUGGUAUUCCGGGGGGCAUGCCUGUUCGAGCGUCAUUAUAACCCCUCAAGCUCAGCUUGGUGUUGGGGCCUGCCAACUGGCAGCCCUUAAAAUCAGUGGCGGCGCCAUCUGGCUCUAAGCGUAGUAAUUUCUCUCGCUAUAGGGUCCUGAUGGAUGCUUGCCAACAACCCCCAAUUUUCUAUGG
rnacentral:misc_RNA from 1 species